rnacentral:rRNA from 1 species
ACAGAGGGUGCGAGCGUUGUCCGGAAUCACUGGGCGUAAAGGGCGCGUAGGCGGCCUGGUAAGGUCGCGGUGAAAGCCCGGGGCUCAACCCCGGGUCGGCCGUGGCAACUGCGAGGCUUGAGCACAGUAGAGGCGGGUGGAAUUCCGGGUGUAGCGGUGGAAUGCGUAGAUAUCAGGAGGAACACCUGUGGCGAAAGCGGCUCACUGGACCAUAACUGACGCUGAUGCACGAAAGCUAGGGGAGCAAACAGGA